rnacentral:rRNA from 1 species
UACGAGGGGGGCGAGCGUUGUUCGGAAUUAUUGGGCGUAAAGGGCGCGUAGGCGGUUGGAUAAGUCUUGUGUGAAAUCUCCCGGCUCAACUGGGAGGGUGCGCCGAAUACUGAAUGACUUCGAGUGCGGGAGAGGAGAGUGGAAUUCCUGGUGUAGCGGUGAAAUGCGUAGAUAUCAGGAGGAACACCGGUGGUGUAGACGGCUCUCUGGACCGUAACUGACGCUGAGACACGAAAGCGUGGGUAGCAAACAGG